GACGAACGCUGGCGGCGUGCCUAACACAUGCAAGUCGAACGGAAAGGCCCUGCUUAUGUGCGGACCUCGAGUGGAGACGGGGUGAGUAACCCGUGAGUACCCUACACUUGCCUGUGGGAUAUCUUAAGGCCACUGGGUCUCAUACCGCCUAGGAGCUCCUGCUGCUUGGUGGGGCCUGGAUGGAUUCGGCGGUUGGGGAUGGACACGCCCCCCAUCAGCUUGUUGGAGGGGUAGUGGCUUAGCAAGGCCAUGAACGGUAGCCGGCCUGAGAGGAUGACCUGCCACACUAGGACUGAGAUACGGCCCAGACUCCUACGGUAGGCAACGGAGGGGUAUAGUGUACUAUGGGCGGGAGCCUGAUGCAGCAACGCAGCGUGCGGUAUGACGGCCUUCGGUUUGUAUUCCGCUGUCGCCUGUGACGGAGCGUGAGUGACGGUAAUGGGUGAAGAAGCUCCGGCUAACUCCGUG
rnacentral:rRNA from 1 species